ACGGGUGCGUAACGCGUAUACAAUCUGCCUUUUAUCCGGGGGAUAGCCCGAAGAAAUUUGGAUUAAUACCCUAUGGUAUAAGAGCACGGCAUCGUGCACUUAUUAAAGCUACGGCGGUAAAAGAUGAGUAUGCGUUCUAUUAGCUAGUUGGAGAGGUAACGGCUCCCCAAGGCGACGAUAGAUAGGGGUUCUGAGAGGGAUGUCCCCCACACUGGUACUGAGAUACGGACCAGACUCCUACGGGAGGCAGCAGUGGGGAAUCUUCCGCAAUGGGCGCAAGCCUGACGGAGCAACGCCGCGUGAGUGAAGAAGGUCUUCGGAUCGUAAAGCUCUGUUGACGGGGACGAACGUAUAGAGUGCGAACAGCGCUUUGUAAUGACGGUACCUGUCGAGGAAGCCACGGCUAACUACGUGCCAGCAGCCGCGGUAAUACGUAGGUGGCGAGCGUUGUCCGGAAUCAUUGGGCGUAAAGGGAGCGCAGGCGGGCAAGUAAGUCUUUCUUAAAAGUUCGGGGCUCAACCCCGUGAUGGGAAAGAAACUAUAUGUCUUGAGUACAGGAGAGGAAAGCGGAAUUCCCAGUGUAGCGGUGAAAUGCGUAGAUAUUGGGGAGGAACACCAGUGGCGAAGGCGGCUUUCUGGACUGCAACUGACGCUGAGGCUCGAAAGCUAGGGGAGCGAACUGGAUUAGAUACCCCGGUAGUCCUGGCCGUAAAC
rnacentral:rRNA from 1 species